UACGUAGGGUGCAAGCGUUAAUCGGAAUUACUGGGCGUAAAGCGUGCGCAGGCGGUUUUGCAAGACAGAUGUGAAAUCCCCGGGCUCAACCUGGGAACUGCAUUUGUGACUGUAGAGCUGGAGUACGGCAGAGGGGGAUGGAAUUCCGCGUGUAGCAGUGAAAUGCGUAGAUAUGCGGAGGAACACCGAUGGCGAAGGCAAUCCCCUGGGCCUGUACUGACGCUCAUGCACGAAAGCGUGGGGAGCAAACAGG
rnacentral:rRNA from 1 species